AACCCUGCAGUCAAGCAGCAGUUACGAAUGAUACCCCUCAGGUCUUAAGUUCUGAUACAAUAUCAACAACAGAACACAGCUUUCCUGUCCUCAUGUCGCCUUCGAUAGCUUAUAAAGGCCACAGUGAGUGAUGUAACAUGUGAUACAGUCAGAAUUUAAGGCUCAGAAACCCGCAAUCAAGCAGCGGUGUCGAAUGAUACCGCUCAGGUUUUGAGCUUGGACCCGGUUUCAACAACCAAACAACGUUUUCCUGUCCCCAUAUGGCCUUUGGUAGCUUAGAAAUGCCACAGUGGAACCCCUGUAGCUGACCAGAAAGGCCAGGACUGUCAGAUGCCAUACAUGAAUUGGUUCAAGUUCUUCAAACAGAGCUGACACAGCAGAAGGCCUCUGGUGGCAUACUGUAAUCAAGUGUGCCACUCCCACAGGAUUAUUGCAUUGGCCUUUUGCAUUCAUGCCUGAAUGCUGUCCAGGGCAUCCCACAGGCACCAGCUGCGUGACGAUGCCCCACCCCACGGAUUGUCUUAUGCCAACAUCGUGCUCCCGUAGGGAACUACGGACACUAGAAGAUGGACUGUAGACAUGCUAAGGAAUUCUUCAGUAGCUUCAUGGUGCACUGGAGAAGAAACAGCAUACCUGGAUGAAGUAAACAAACGGCCCUUAUCAGGGCCACCAUAUAUCUGCCACAAUGGCCAGCGUUCUGCUGAUAGAAGAAACCCUGAUGGUGAUAGAAGAUCACUGAACUAACCAUAACUCAAGCAUGAUGGCUACAACAGUGCUGAUAGAAAACAAUCAUUGCAGUUGCAAAUGCCAUACAUUUCACUAAGCACUGUAUUUUUGAUGACAGUAAUAUUUAGAGUUGAAGGAGUCAUGUUCUGCCACUUUUUGGAUGGUCAAAGUAUGCAUCACAGAACAUAUUGCUAAGGUGAACAGUAUGUGAAACCGACUAUAACUCCUGUUAUUCAUUUGCACAGAAAAUAUGAAGCAGAAAAUGUCGAGGUUGUUGCGAGAGACCUGUACUAUGUCUGUUCUAUGUCUUUUGCAAAAGCUAUCACCGUUUCUUGACAAAAGUGACGUGGAGAAUGUACUGGACGCCUCCAUUUUUCCCCUUUCUCUCCGUACUGUAAAGGUAGUUCUUUUUGUGUAGUCCAAUAAUACGAGAAUUUGAAAAAAGGUC